rnacentral:rRNA from 1 species
CGCAUCUGUGCAUGCAGCAUAUCAAUAAGCGGAGGAAAAGAAACUAACAAGGAUUCCCUUAGUAACGGCGAGUGAAGCGGGAAGAGCUCAAAUUUGAAAUCUUCAAGGUUUUACCUUGACGAAUUGUAGUCUAAAGAAGUGUUUUCUGUUGAAGUUUUGGUAAAAGUUCUUUGGAAUAGGACAUCAUAGAGGGUGAGAAUCCCGUAUUUGACCAUUAUUUUCAGCUGUGUGAUACACUUUCAAAGAGUCGGAUUGUUUGGGAAUGCAGUCCAAAAUGGGUGGUAAAUUUCAUCUAAAGCUAAAUAUUGGCGAGAGACCGAUAGCGAACAAGUACCGUGAGGGAAAGAUGAAAAGAACUUUGAAAAGAGAGUUAAACAGUACAUGAAAUUGUCAAAAGGGAAGCGUUUGACACCAGUGUUGUUUUCUCGAAAAUCAAUUAAAAAGAGUUGGAUUUUGUUGUGUAUUGACCUUAACAGCUUGCAUUCAAUCUUUCUUAGCUUUUUUUAAUGCACUUUUCGUUUAACAAGUCAACAUCAGUUUCUUUUGUUGUAAAAGGGUCAUUGGAAGGUGGCUUUCUUUCGGAGAAAGUGUUUAUAGCCUUUGACUCCUGCAAUCGGAGAGACUGAGGUCUGCAGCGUAGAUCCCUCGGGGUUAGAUACAUUUGUGCUAAGUUAUAGCUUUUUAUAGACAACUUGUUGACUAUGAUUAGUCUUGUAGCUUACUCGCUUAUGCUAUUUUACCUACGCUUAGGAUGUUGACGCGCGUGUGUGCGUG